UACGUAGGGGGCAAGCGUUGUCCGGAAUCAUUGGGCGUAAAGAGCGUGUAGGCGGCCAGAAAAGUCCGCUGUGAAAACUCGAGGCUCAACUUCGAGCUGUCGGUGGAAACUUUCUGGCUAGAGUCCGGAAGAGGAGAAUGGAAUUCCUGGUGUAGCGGUGAAAUGCGCAGAUAUCAGGAAGAACACCAAUGGCGAAGGCAGCUCUCUGGGCCGAUAUUGACGCUGAGGAGCGAAAGCGUGGGGAGCGAACAGG
rnacentral:rRNA from 1 species